rnacentral:rRNA from 1 species
UACGGGGGGGGCUAGUGUUAUUCAUCGUUACUGGGUGUAAAGCGCGUGUAGGCGGUUUAAAAAGUUCCAACUAGAACAAUCCAGGCUUAACUUGGAAACUAGUUUUUAUACUAUUAAACUAGAGGUUAAAAGAAGGGGGCUAUACUUCUCAGAAAAAGGUGAAAUUUGUCCGAACUGGGGAGGAUAACCGGCAAGCGAAGGCGGCCCCCUACUAUAAUACUGACGCUUUGGCGCAAAAGCUUGGGGAUCAAACGGG